GAAUCUUUGCACUAUGCUAUGGAAUUCACUCAGAACACGUUAUGUGAUAGCAUCAAUUCUAUCAGAAUAAAGCCUUAGAAGAUGUGCACUGAAGCAGUGGUGGAUGUGCAAAAGUCUUUCCAAAGCACUUUCAGGAGUAUAUACUUUUUUUUUCAAUUGUAUGCUAAUAACUGAAAACUACUGCUGACAACUUCACUACAACAGGUGCUCUGCCUUUAUGCCAGCCUAUAUAUUUUAGCAAAGUUGGGAAAACUAAUUUAUAUGUAAAACC
rnacentral:lncRNA from 1 species